rnacentral:rRNA from 1 species
UACAGAGGUGGCAAGCGUUGUUCGGAAUUACUGGGCGUAAAGGGCGCGUAGGCGGUUCGGUAAGUCCUGUGUGAAAGCCCCCGGCUCAACUGGGGAGGGUCAUUCGAUACUGAUCGACUCGAAGGCAGGAGAGGGAAGCGGAAUUCCCGGUGUAGUGGUGAAAUGCGUAGAUAUCGGGAGGAACACCAGUGGCGAAGGCGGCUUCCUGGCCUGUUCUUGACGCUGAGGCGCGAAAGCUAGGGGAGCAAACGGG